UGCUGUGGAAGUGAUGAGUUUUUCAUGUCUCUUCUCUGAUUAAACAUCAGUGGAGACAAUUUUGAUAACUCUGAUCUCGGCA